GAGAGACAGCAUGUAAUUUUCAGCUGUGGUUGUUUCACACUUUUUUUGGGUCUUUCAUCAGAUCUGUCAGCAAGAGUUGGGCUGAUGUAAAGCUCUUAGGAUUGUUUUUUUUUUUUUGUGCUCCGAGUGGACGAGAUCAGUGAUGAGAACCUGUUAGAGUUCCGUGGAGAUGGAUGAUGUAACCUGUUGUCACGGAGCCGCAGCACGACACUCUGAUCCUCUGCGCCAAGAGCUGACACGCAGACAGCAAAGGAAUAUAACGCAAUCCAGGACUCUGGAGGAAACUUCGGCCCACAGAACAUGUUCUCUCUCUACCCUGCUCUCUGUCUCUCUCUCAACAUUAUUUUAUUUAUGAUUAUAUUGUAUUGAUAUGAAACACAUUUUCUGUUCAAACAAAAGUAUUAUCACUGUGUUUUUGAAACAUUUAAUGUCGAAUGGGAAGAUUAUAUUAUUGGCAUUUGAAAGCUAUACUCAAAAAAAAAAAAAGUAAACAUUUUACCAACAUUUUGGUAACAGUUCAUUAAGAAUUAUUGUCUAUUUUGUGAAUAAAAUUGAUCAGGACAUAAACUCAAACCUGCAUCAAACUUAUGUCAGGUAAUAUGUCACUUACCAGCGUAAAUUGCUGAUUAAACAUUGUGAUCUAAUAUAAAUACACACAAAUCUGUGGUUUCGCCCUGUGAAAAUAUAUAUAUGUGUAUGUGUGUAUGUGUGUGUGUAGAGAUGUGUCAUCUGUGUGUGUGCAGAGCUGGUGUGAAUGACGCCGUGAGGCUGCACUAGCGGCCACAAGAGAGAAAUGAGACUGACAGAAUGCGAGACAGAGAUUAUUAACACCAGAGUUCUGCCUGAACUAAAGUGCCCCUACGAUUCUCCGGUGCAGCCAAGACUAUUUGGUGCGGAUGCAAGGAGGUUACCAGGUGUUCUACGCGUUUUCUUGCAGGUGUAAAUUAAAGAAGCCCUUUAUUUUAUUUUUUUUAAAUUAUGAUUUAAUUUAUUUCUGCUUAUAUUUCACACUUUUAUUUUAUUUCUGUUUUAAGUGAUUAGAAUGCACAGUUUCAUAUUCUAACAUUUGUCAUAAAUAUACAGUGGUGACCAAAAUUGUUAGAACACUUGGCAUAUUUAAGAGGUUUUAGUUGUUUUUGUUGAAUUGGCCAUUACAAAACCCUUAAAACAAACUAUUGCAAGAACCACCUGCGACGGAUGGAAUAUGCUGGAACACUGGAAAUGAUGGACUGGCCCCCUCAAAGUCCGCACAUCAGCCUCAUCGAGCAAAUUGGGGGCGAUUUGGAAAAUAAACUGGACAGAUCUAUUGUCCAUUCAAGCCUUUGGCUUGAGUUGCAGACGG